rnacentral:lncRNA from 1 species
AAACUGCCCCUUCCUCGAGGGUCUGUAUAUCACAGAGCCAAAGACAAUUCAGGAACUGCUGUGCAGCCCCUCAAAGUACCGCUUGGAGAUCCUAGAGUGGAUGUGUACCCGGGUCUGGCCCUCACUGCAGGACAGGUUCAGCUCACUGAAAGGGGUCCCAACAGAGGUGAAGAUCCAAGAAAUGACGAAGCUGGGCCAUGAGCUGAUGCUGUGUGCGCCAGAUGACCAGGAGCUCCUCAAGGUAAGAGGGCCUCUGUCUGCUCUGCAGACGGCACGCACGCUUUCUGCCCUGGGCAGGGAACCUCAUGGUGCCAGCUGAGGUGGGAGGAUUUUCCUCCCCUAGUGCCUUUGAGGUUCCUCAGGCCCUGGGGCCGGCUGGGUGCCCGGGCAGGCUGCUUCUCUAGGCAUCCCUGGGGCCAGAACUGCUGGGAUUCUCUUGGGUAGAACCUGGUUGUCCCUGGGGUGCAGGGGAGAGGGCAGCCAUGCGGGGAGGGGCAGAUCUCUGGCUUCUGAUGACCAGUGGGAUGGAAAGUGUCCUGUCCUUGGUUGAUGACUUCAUUCUUCAUUCAUCCCGGCGCCUGGCUCCCAAGCCCUUGUGGCCCGAGAGUUUCUCCCGAGGUCCCUCAUCUACCCUGCGGUAGGUCAAAGAAACUCCAGCACCCACCUUAUCGUUUCUAAAUUUUGAAAUAAUUGUUUUCACUCGAUGAUUAUGAGUAACACUACUGUAAACAUUCUUGCAUAUGAUUUUUGACUGAACACGUUUUCUUUUUUUUAUAUCUGAA